rnacentral:precursor_RNA from 14 species
CAACGACGGACGACCGGGUGAUUCGGAGGCAAGUGGAGGAGUGGUCUCCUCUCUUUGCCAGACAAAAGUGAGAUUCAACUCCUCCAACUUCUCGCCGAUCACCAAACCCAUCACCGCAGCCA